AAAUUGAAGAGUUUGAUCAUGGCUCAGAUUGAACGCUGGCGGCAGGCCUAACACAUGCAAGUCGAACGGUAACAGGAAGAAGCUUGCUUCUUCGCUGACGAGUGGCGGACGGGUGAGUAAUGUCUGGGAAACUGCCUGAUGGAGGGGGAUAACUACUGGAAACGGUAGCUAAUACCGCAUAACGUCGCAAGACCAAAGAGGGGGACCUUCGGGCCUCUUGCCAUCGGAUGUGCCCAGAUGGGAUUAGCUAGUAGGUGGGGUAACGGCUCACC
rnacentral:rRNA from 1 species